GGUAGCUCAGUCAGUAGAGCAUGAGACUCUCAGUCUCAUGGUUGUGGGUUCAAGCCUUACAUUGGACA